rnacentral:lncRNA from 1 species
CCUCAGGUAGUACUUCCAAAGUCCACACUUUGUUUUCUUACAUGGACCCUAUCUCGGACUUCAUGGCCUGCAGCCAUUUGUUGGAAUCUGGGCCCACCAUUUCUUCUUCAUAAUUUGCAGGUUCAUUGUUGUCUAACAACAUGAUUGACAAAACGGGAUUACCGUACCACUCUGGAGCAGCACGUGGUCUCGUCGACCUGCGUGGUUUUAUAGGAACUUGAACUGGAGUUUCAUGAUCAUCAUCAUUAACUUCCUCCUCAACCGGCGUCGCAACGACAGGGGUUUCCCCUUGCCCUGCGCCACCAUCCAGAGGGAUGAGAGGUUCGACAACCUCAUCAAGUUAUAUCUUCCUCCCACUCAAUUCUCUCGAGAGAAACUCCUUCUCGAGAAAAGCUCUGUUUUUAGCAACAAACACUUUGCCCUCGGAUUUGAGAUAGAAGGUGUACCCAACUGUCUCUUUUGGGUAACCUAUGAAGA